UACGUAGGAGGCGAGCGUUGUCCGGAAUUACUGGGCGUAAAGAGCGCGUAGGCGGCACGGUACGACCGGUGUGAAAGCCCCCCGGCUCAACUGGGGAGGGUCACCGGUAACGGUCGAGCUAUGAGUGCAGGAGAGGGAAGUGGAACUCCGGGAGUAGCGGAUGAAUGCGUAGAGACCGGAGGAACACCAGUGGCGAAGGCGGCUUCCUGGUCUGCGACUGACGCUGUGGCGCGAAAGCUAGGGGAGCAAACGGG
rnacentral:rRNA from 1 species